rnacentral:rRNA from 1 species
GUCUAUGGCCAUGCCACCCUGAACAAGCCUGAUAUCUGAUCUCAGAAGCUAAGCAGGGUCGGGCCUGGUUAGUACUUGGAUGGGAGACCACCUAGGAAGACCAGGUGCUGUAGGCA